rnacentral:rRNA from 1 species
AAAUUGAAGAGUUUGAUCAUGGCUCAGAUUGAACGCUGGCGGCAGGCCUAACACAUGCAAGUCGAACGGUAACAGGAAGCAGCUUGCUGUUUCGCUGACGAGUGGCGGACGGGUGAGUAAUGUCUGGGAAACUGCCUGAUGGAGGGGGAUAACUACUGGAAACGGUAGCUAAUACCGCAUAACGUCGCAAGACCAAAGAGGGGGACCUUCGGGCCUCUUGCCAUCGGAUGUGCCCAGAUGGGAUUAGCUAGUAGGUGGGGUAACGGCUCACCUAGGCGACGAUCCCUAGCUGGUCUGAGAGGAUGACCAGCCACACUGGAACUGAGACACGGUCCAGACUCCUACGGGAGGCAGCAGUGGGGAAUAUUGCACAAUGGGCGCAAGCCUGAUGCAGCCAUGCCGCGUGUAUGAAGAAGGCCUUCGGGUUGUAAAG